CUAGUAGGCGGCCAGGUAAGUCUGGUGUGAAAGCCCCCGGCUCAACCGGGGAAUUGCAUUGGAAACUGCUUGGCUAGAGUCCGGGAGAGGUGAGCGGAAUUCCCAGUGUAGCGGUGAAAUGCGUAGAUAUUGGGAGGAACACCAGUGGCGAAGGCGGCUCACUGGACCGGUACUGACGCUCAGAAGCGAAAGCUAGGGGAGCGAAAG
rnacentral:rRNA from 1 species